AACUAGAGGCAAAUUAAUCAUAUGUGAAUGUGACUUUGUUUUGCCUUCAUGCAUUGGCAGUUAGUCGUUAUACGAGGAGGGAAGAUCUGAUUGAGGCCAUACAGUUCAGUGCUAUGGCAGGGCAUCCGUGUCCCGUGCCUAUAGAAUGGGAAUACCAGGAAUGAUUGUUGCUUAGUUCUGCUCCAGAUGUCGCACAGACAAGAACUAACUUGAACUCGUUAAUGUGGAGUAUCGGCAUCGCUGCUUAAACGGAAAAAGGGUACUUAGUGCUUAUAUCGCUGCGAUAGUGAAGUGAAUGGAGAAAUUUCAACAGUUGUGAAAGUAGUGAUAGCAAUUGAGAAGAUUGCCAGAAGUUGA